GUGGGUAGUUUGACUGGGGCGGUCUCCUCCUAAAGAGUAACGGAGGAGCACGAAGGUUGGCUAAUCCUGGUCGGACAUCAGGAGGUUAGUGCAAUGGCAUAAGCCAGCUUGACUGCGAGCGUGACGGCGCGAGCAGGUGCGAAAGCAGGUCAUAGUGAUCCGGUGGUUCUGAAUGGAAGGGCCAUCGCUCAACGGAUAAAAGGUACUCCGGGGAUAACAGGCUGAUACCGCCCAAGAGUUCAUAUCGACGGCGGUGUUUGGCACCUCGAUGUCGGCUCAUCACAUCCUGGGGCUGAAGUAGGUCCCAAGGGUAUGGCUGUUCGCCAUUUAAAGUGGUACGCGAGCUGGGUUUAGAACGUCGUGAGACAGUUCGGUCCCUAUCUGCCGUGGGCGCUGGAGAACUGAGGG
rnacentral:rRNA from 1 species